ACCUAAUCCUAAUUCUGUUUCAAUCUGAAAUUUUGUUUCUCUCUUCUUACUGUGGUGAAUCGCCUGGUCUCCAUCCACAAAAGGUUGCACUGAUCUUUGUCUAUCCACCAUCGCGAGUCUUCUCCGUCGAAUGCUCCUGCAUCUUCGUGUAUCAUCACCGUCAAGCGCUUCUACAACGUCGUUUUUUCAACUCUCGCAACCACAACCUCGAUCGAAUCUCGUAACUCUAGCUUUUUCAACUCGGUUUGACGUUUUUUAUUUCUAUAUCUAUUAUAGAGCUCGGUUGGUUGGUGAGUUAAUUCAAUAGGUAGGGUUUUUACUGAUUCUUACAUUGAUUAUAAACUUGGGUGAUUUUUGUAAACAAACUGUUUGUUGAAAUGCCACAAUGAGUUUAUUAGGUCGAUAUUGAGUAUACAGGUAGAGGGAUACCUAUAAGGAUACCUAAUCCCACACCUCGUUUGUAGUUAAGCUGAUAGUUGAGAGCUGCACCUAGGCAUAACUACUGCCAAACUAGUGGCCUCUUAAGGAUUACCCAUCACUAAAAUCUAGGAGUUUGAAGUUAGGUAGGGAAUGACAAUGUCUUUCUCCAGGGAAAUGUAAUCAUUUGGUGAUCCAAGUUGCCGAACAAAUCUGUUCGUGGAUGCUUGUGUUCUGGAAUAGGGUGACUUCAACCUUAUCUUCAGAAUGGGGAGUAGUUGGAGACUUUGGGGGAAACCAGGACAGACUGGACGAAUAGAACCAUUAGCUUCAGCCACGAUGUGUUACUUUCAAGUGAUUUGCAUGGGUGAUCAGAUUAAUACGAUACUGAUGCCAUGCUGAAAACUCCCUAUCCUUUGACUACAAAACAAGUAUUUGAGAGGGCUAGCAGUCGACAAAUGAACCUAUUACCAAAUGGGCCAUCAUGUAAAGGUCCAAGCGUGCCAUGGAAGCAACAAAGGAAGAUGAGGACGGCUGGUUUUUAUUAGUUUAUCCUUUCUGCCUUGAGGACAAGGCAACUUCGCGGGUAGAUGGUAAGUUUUUGGGUCCUGUUAGUUAUGAAAAAGGGACUACUUGUAAAUGACAAAUCGAAGAGAAUAUUAGUCAUGGAAUUUCUUCCGGCGUGAUUCAAUAACAUUAUGUCAUGGAAUUUCUUCUAGACAAAAUUGGGCAGCGUACUUUCAAAGAUAUAUUUGAUGGAUUGCAGAUUCAAAACCAUUAUUGACGAGCUGACUUCAGGUUUCUAAAGAUUUCUACAUAAUGCAUCAGUUUCGUAGUAAAGCAAGGUCGGUUUGAUCAUCCACAAAGGGAUAUAGGAAUCAAGAAAAGUCUGCACGUCAAUUUUGCUGAAGUUCUCGAUGAUGCCUGUUCCUGCAACGUUUGUGGCUUAGUCUGGCUUGAUGGGCAAUCGUUGUUAUAAAGCACCUGAACUUUUGAUGCGUUCUACCCAUUACUCAACUGCAUUUAAUAUCUGGUCGAUGGGCUGCAUAUUUGCGGAUAUGAUUAAGCUCAAACCUUUGUUCGUUGGUAAAGACGAACCUGAGAUAUUGGCUUAGAUAUUUUGUUUGCUUGGCGUGCCAACAGAAGAAUCCUGGCCUGGUGUGUCUUCUAUAUGCACAGUGCACCUUUAUUCAACAUCUUGAUCCUUCAAUGAUGCCAAAGGUUUCAUAUACAGUGGUGAUGAUAACUAUGACGACAAUUGGGAAGUUGCGGAGAGUACUGAAUUGGACGAAGCUUUCAACACUGCAACUGCUUUUUUUGCUGCCGCCACUGCCGAUCGUCUCUCUAAAUAGUUUUCCACUUUACAAUGACAUUCUUCUCCCCUAAAAAUGACCGCUCGUUCCAAAUGGAACAUCUGAAGCCUUUAUGCAUGCAGUUGCAACUUAGAGCCAACUCAAGCAAUCAAACGAUUCACUACUUGUAUUCUCUUUGAUUUUUGUAGUUCUGAAUGUCCUACUAAUAAAGCUAUAUGGGUCAAUUGGCUUGAUCAUGGCAAAUUCUCUUAGUAUCCUUUCUACCUAGUUAAAUCCUAUUAGUUCUACCAUGUUUUCUCAUGGACCACACUUGAUAAAUUGAAACUAUGACUUGUUUACUUAUUGGAUAGAUAAGAUUUUGCAUAUUUUGUUUGGGUCCCCUACUAAGAUUUGUUGCACUCUUAUUGUUCAGGUUUUGCAUUCCUUUGAAUUCUUACAAACUAUGCCGCCAAAAAUGUCCAAGAAGAAGAAUAUAUCUACUCAACAUGACGUUACUCAACCUUUGAAUUUUGAUUUGUACUUUUUUUUCAUUUUGACUUAGUUGACUAAUGAUUAGUAAUAUCUUGGUUAUUUGAAUCAAUUUUAGUAAUGUGAUUAUACAAUUACUUGUUACGUAACAGAUUUAACAAUUUAAA